rnacentral:rRNA from 1 species
GACGUAGGGGGCAAGCGUUGUCCGGAAUCAUUGGGCGUAAAGCGCUCGUAGGUGGAUCGGUAAGUCUGCAAAGAAAGACCCGGGCUCAACUCGGGGAACGGUGUGGAUACUACCGAUCUUGAGGCAAUCAGAGGAUGAUGGAAUUCCCGGUGUAGCGGUGAAAUGCGUAGAGAUCGGAAAGAACACCAACGGCGAAAGCACUCUGCUGGGCCGACACUGACACUGAGAGACGAAAGCUAGGGGAGCGAAUGGG